rnacentral:rRNA from 1 species
CCUACGGGAGGCUGCAGUAAGGAAUAUUGGUCAAUGGACGCAAGUCUGAACCAGCCAUGCCGCGUGGAGGAUGAAGGUCCUCUGGAUUGUAAACUUCUUUUAUUUGGGAAGAAACUCCCGAUUUCCAUCGGGAUUGACGGUACCAGAUGAAUAAGCACCGGCUAACUCAGUGCCAGCAGCCGCGGUAAUACGGAGGGUGCAAGAUUUAUCCGGAUUCACUGGGGCUUAGGGGUGCGGGGAAGUCAGUGGUUAAAUCUCCGGGCUUAACCCGGAAACUGCCAUUGAUACUAUUUGUCUUGAAUACUCUGGAGGUGAGCGGAAUAUGUCAUGUAGCGGUGAAAUGCUUAGAUAUGACAUAGAACACCCAUUGCGAAGGCAGCUCACUACGGAAAUAUUGACGCUGAGGCACGAAAGCGUGGGGAUCAAACAGGAUUAGAUACCCCAGUAGUC